UACAGAGGUCUCGAGCGUUGUGCGGAUUUACUGGGCGUAAAGGGCGCGUAGGCGGCGCGGCGUGUCGAGUGUGAAUCUCCGGGCUCAACCCGGAAAGUGCGCUCGAAACUGCCGCGCUCGAGUGCGGGAUGGGGAAUCGGAAUGCAGGGUGUAGCGGUGAAAUGCGUUGAUAUCCUGCGGAACACCGGAGGCGAAGGCGGAUUCCUGGAACGCAACUGACGCUGAGGCGCGAAAGUCGGGGGAGCAAACA
rnacentral:rRNA from 1 species